GACGAACGCUGGCGGCGUGCCUAAUACAUGCAAGUCGAGCGAAGUUUUUCUGGUGCUUGCACUAGAAAAACUUAGCGGCGAACGGGUGAGUAACACGUAAAGAACCUGCCUCAUAGACUGGGACAACUAUUGGAAACGAUAGCUAAUACCGGAUAACAGCAUUAACUGCAUGGUUGAUGUUUAAAAGUUGGUUUUGCUAACGCUAUGAGAUGGCUUUGCGGUGCAUUAGCUAGUUGGUGGGGUAAAGGCCUACCAAGGCGACGAUGCAUAGCCGACCUGAGAGGGUGGUCGGCCACCCUGGGACUUAGACACGGCCCAGACUCCUACGGGGGGCCGCAGUAGGGAAUCUUCCGCAAUGGGCGGAAGCCUGACGGGGCAACCCCGCGUGGGUUAAGAAGGAUUUCGGUUCGUAAAGCUCUGUUGUUAGGGAAGAAUGAUUGUGUAGUAACUAUACACAGUAGAGACGGUACCUAACCAGAAAGCCACGGCUAACUACGUG
rnacentral:rRNA from 1 species